UACAGAGGUCUCAAGCGUUGUUCGGAUUCAUUGGGCGUAAAGGGCGCGUAGGCUGCGGGGCAAGUCGGGUGUGAAAUCUCAGAGCUCAACUCUGAAACUGCACUCGAUACUGCUUUGCUUGAGGACUGGAGAGGAGAUUGGAAUUCACGGUGUAGCAGUGAAAUGCGUAGAUAUCGUGAGGAAGACCAGUGGCGAAGGCGGAUCUCCUGGACAGUUCCUGACGCUGAGGCGCGAAGGCCAGGGGAGCAAACGGG
rnacentral:rRNA from 1 species